AGUGAACGCUGGCGGCGUGCUUAACACAUGCAAGUCGAACGAGAACGGUCUAUAGCUUGCUAUAGAUGUCAGCUAAGUGGCGGACGGGUGAGUAAUGUAUAGCUAAUGUGCCCCUUAGAGAGGGAUAACAGUUGGAAACGACUGCUAAUACCUCAUACUCCUUCUAUAUUAAUUAUAGUUGGGAAAUGUUUUUCGCUAAGGGAUCGGGCUAUAUGGUAUCAGGUAGUUGGUGGGGUAAGAGCCUACCAAGCCAAUGACGCCUAGCUGGUCUGAGAGGAUGAUCAGCCACACUGGAACUGAGACACGGUCCAGACUCCUACGGGAGGCAGCAGUGGGGAAUAUUGCACAAUGGGGGAAACCCUGAUGCAGCAACGCCGCGUGGAGGAUGACGCAUUUUCGGUGUGUAAACUCCUUUUAUAUAGGAAGAUAAUGACGGUACUAUAUGAAUAAGCACCGGCUAACUCCGUGCCAGCAG
rnacentral:rRNA from 1 species